AGAGAUUCUGAUGGACUUGGAAUGGGGUGGAGCCUGAAGGCUGGCCUAUUCUAAAGGCUCUUCAGGGAUUUUUAAUAUGCAGCUAGGAUUGAAAAUCACUUACGUAGACAUACAGUUUUUAUGUUUUAACAAAUACUUUUAAGGCAAACAAACUACUGGGAUGAUCUUUGGAUGCACCACAGAACUUUUUCAGAAGCAUUUGGGCGUCCCAAUGAUUUCUACUUCUAAAGAGUGCUAGUGAAUGAGGGAUUUUGAUUGAGGGCUUACUUUGCUGCCUUAGUGUUCUCUCCUAACCAGAAGCCUUUCUGUUUUGGAAUCAUGGAGCACAUCUUUUGUGGGCUGCGAAAAGCUCUAGGUGGAAGGGAAGAGCAUCAGGUGGUGAAGCUGAACCAGGAGAGUCUAAAAACCACGUGGCCUCUCAGGCACCCUUGAGUCUAGAGGGAGUUCCCUGAUCUUACAUUUGAGAGUGAUUCUAGGGG
rnacentral:lncRNA from 1 species